GCGGUUGUAGCUCAGUGGUAGAGCACUUGCCUAGCAUGUGUGGGCCACUGGGUUCAAUUCUCAGCACCACA
rfam:Ictidomys tridecemlineatus contig067813, whole genome shotgun sequence.